CAACGCCAUGUUGGUCUCCGUGACUUGACUCAUUGUUUUCAUCAGCGUUACUACGGACCUGACAGGAGUGGCUUACGUAAAACGCCCGUGCGCCCUUGGAGACGCUUCAUUCCGAUCUUUUGCGCUGACGCGUUUUUGGAUGUUACGCGCGGACUGUGCACGCAUCAUCCCCGUGACUCGGCGUUUUAAAGGAGUACUACUUGUAAAUAUAACUUUGAAAGUGGGUGGUGGUGUGGGGGGGGGAGGAGAGAGGGCUCGCUUGUUUGUUUGCGCGUGUGUGUGCGUGUGUGUUUUCCCCUCGUCCUAUGUGCAACAAAAUGUCAGAAGUUCGCCUUUCUAACGCGAGCCCGACGGUGGAGAGGGUGGACGUGCGUCAGCCGGACGCCCGCCAGACCGUCGGUCUGCAAGAACCUUUUCGGCAGGCCCGAACCGGAGGAGAUACGGCGUGAUUUGGCGGCUUCCCAUACGGGCAGGUGUGAAGGAUUUCAAGGAAACGUACAACUUCGAUCCGGUCGCCGACAGGCCGCUUUCUCCGAUUCACAACAACAACAACAAUUACGACUGGCAGAGAGAACAGCGACCCCCCGGAGUUUUACGUCAGGCAGCCGCACCGCGGGAGCCGGCGGCCGCGGGGAGACGUCCGGGACGGCCGACGGGACGCCGGGCAGAGCAGCGGCGGCGGCGGCGGCGGCGAGCGGCGGGCGGCUCCGCCGGACCGAGGCGGCUCGAGGAAAAGAGCAUCGGCUUCAGGAUCCUGCUCCAGCGAGUCUAUGAGUAAAAAGUCAAAAGAUGACGGUGACGAUGAGGAAGAUCCCGGUGCAGCGGGUCAGGCGCUUGAAGAGGAGGAGGAGGAGGAGGAGGAGCGCGUGCAGUGAGAAAAACGGUGCUAUAGCUUAGAAAUCUACUCCACUGUUUACGAAAGACAUUUACAAUGGAUCACGACACUCACGUUUUCAACGUGUGAAGUACUGACCACCGGCCGUUGCCAUGGACGCCAAGUGGACUUUUGUGUGUCAUCAUCCGCGACACAAUCGUCCCGUACGCGGCAGUUACACGUCAUCAGCCCUUUAAACUUGUAUUUUGUUUCCUUUCCCCUCCCCUCCCCUUUUUUUUUUUUUUAAUCUUCCACAACCCCUUUGUGCUUUGACUGUUUCCCCUUGGUGCGCGCGAGCGCGUGCGUGCGUGUGCGCGCGAGCGUGUGUCUGUAUUGGGGACAUUGAGCACGAGCAACCGCUUUUUCAAUUGCACCAUUCAAACAGGCUGUUUCCUCUCCGCGUCCCGCAGCGCGUGGAGGCCCGUCGCUGGUGGAAUACUGUAGUCCUUUUCUCAUCGUCUGACAGCUGGGAACGUAUAAAUUGGCCAAAAGCAGUCUUUGGCCAAUGGAAAGGCGGAGGGGAGGCUGCAGGAGCACUGAAUAUGUACACUAUCAAGUUUUGGCACUCAAUUUUUUUUUUUUUAAUCAAAUUGCCUCAGAAGCAGCAGACAAAUGUAGCAGUAUGCAAAUGAGCAAAUGUGUUGCUCAUUUUUUCUUUUUUAUCUACUACCUAUGUUUCAGAUGUAGCACAUAACAAAAAAAGCAUACUAAUGCUUUUUAUACUUUUUGUUAAAUGUAUUUGGAUACGUGUGAAUUUUGACUCGAGAAGUUGCAGUGCAAUUUCCAACAGAGAUAUUAUUUUUGUGGUCAUAUUGUAUCAUUCAUUCAGGUAAUUGAUGUAAGUUAAAAAUGCAGAUUUCAGAAGUCAGGGUUGUGUGGAAACAAAACGUCUUCACUUUUUCUAUGGCUUUAUUUGUCCCAGUGUUCUAUUUUUUUUUUUUUUUUUUGAAGGCUCAGAUGGCCACACUGUAAGUCGAGGCUCUAUCUAACUGGGAACAGCCAUGAAAGAUAAAGUUUACAUGCAAGUAUGGGCCCCCUCCCAUUACACUUUUUAUUUUGCAAUUUUUUUAUUUUUUUUACCAAAGUUAUUGUCUUAUGUUGGGGGGAGGGAGGGGUGGCAAAACUGCUGAGCAAUAUCCAACCAAAUUUUAACAUUCGCUACUAAUCCUAAGAAUUAGCGUUUUUUUUUAAUUGGUUAAAUCCAUAUUUUUGUGGCCUUGGUGGCUCCACAAUCCGCCCCAUUUCAUAAGUGUAUCCCACUUCAACAUAGAUUAAAUAUGUUAAAAUCACUGCUACUUAUUAUGCAAAUAUGUGAAUCAAAGAGUUGUAUUUGUGGUGUAGAAUUCAUGUCAAACAUGUAAUUGCACUUUUUCUUUUUUUUAAUUUCUCGUUUUGGAGGGCAGAAAAACAAAGUGACACUGCCUCAUCUGGUGUGAAACUUUGAAGUGUACCUGUGUCCCCCCCCUUUUUUUUUUUUUUAAUUUUAUUUUUUUUAAAAACACUGAAAUUAUACUAACUUAUUUAUGUUGAGCUUUUCUUGUGGAUAGCUUCCCAAAGCAGCAUUUUUGUAAAUAUCUAUUUUCAAUAUUGUUAAGAGAAAUAAAGAGUUGCAACUGAGCAAACUGAGCCUAAUAAUCAAUUUUAUAUCCUGUGUUUUUUUUUUUUUUUUUUAAACUUUCUUUACCGUUUCUGCAGUGGGCAAGUUGAUUAAAAAGCAACGCUGGAGUAAUCUAUGCAUGUGCUCACUGUUUUUGACUGGAAGGCACACAACCACUCCACCUUCAACAAACAAUCCUUCGAUUUAAAGUGAUCCACCCACGCAACUGGCAGACAGCAACAAUAAGCACUAUGAUCACAUGGAUGUUUAUGUAAGCAAUAAACACUAACGGAGAUACACCACGUUAUUAAAGGGGGUUAGUGAGUUCAGUCUUGGGAAUGAUACCGUAUUCGUUAUUACCAUCAUUCAUCAGAAGUUGUAUAGGCCUCCUAUCUACAUCCGAUUAAUAGUUUAAUCCCAGGAGCCUCACAACUAAAUGCACCGUACUUUGCG
ensembl:lncRNA